AUGUGCUUAUCUCUAGCCUCUAGUAGAAAUAGGAAACAUGGUGUAGCGUACACUGUAUUUCAUCGUCACUCUCUCAUUUUCAGUCGCGCUUCCUGUCCCUGCUACCUACGUCUCUGUCUUCGUCCAUCCUUGCGGCCGGCGACCUCGAGCGGUCCCUUGACGACCUGCUCGACCCGCCAGGCAAACAGCUCCGCGGUGCCACAAAGAGCCAGUUCCUCCCGUCAUAGUGGUGGACUACAUGCUUUGCCCCUGCCGUUGCAAGCAACAUCAAUUUGGAGAAGAUUCAAGCACGAAGUUUGUGCUUAG
rnacentral:rRNA from 1 species